rnacentral:rRNA from 1 species
GACGAACGCUGGCGGCGUGCCUAAUACAUGCAAGUAGAACGCUGAAGCUUGGUGCUUGCACCGAGCGGAUGAGUUGCGAACGGGUGAGUAACGCGUAGGUAACCUGCCUGGUAGCGGGGGAUAACUAUUGGAAACGAUAGCUAAUACCGCAUAAAAUGAAUUAUCGCAUGAUAAUUCAUUGAAAGGUGCAAAUGCAUCACUACCAGAUGGACCUGCGUUGUAUUAGCUAGUUGGUGGGGUAACGGCUCACCAAGGCGACGAUACAUAGCCGACCUGAGAGGGUGAUCGGCCACACUGGGACUGAGACACGGCCCAGACUCCUACGGGAGGCAGCAGUAGGGAAUCUUCGGCAAUGGACGGAAGUCUGACCGAGCAACGCCGCGUGAGUGAAGAAGGUUUUCGGAUCGUAAAGCUCUGUUGUAAGAGAAGAACGAGUGU